AUCUUGCGGCCGAGCUUGUACUUGCCGCCGACAACGCGCUCCAUCGGACUGGUCGAGCUCUGGGGUUCGUCAAGAAGCUCUUUUGAUCACGUCGAAGCUUCUGAUUCUGCUUAGAGAGAGAGAGAGAGAGAGAGAGAGAGAGAGAGAGAGAGAGAGAGAGAGAUUGA